UACGUAGGUGGCAAGCGUUGUUCGGAAUUACUGGGCGUAAAGGGCUCGUAGGCGGCCAACUAAGUCAGACGUGAAAUCCCUCGGCUUAACCGGGGAACUGCGUCUGAUACUGGAUGGCUAGAGGUUGGGAGAGGGAUGCGGAAUUCCAGGUGUAGCGGUGAAAUGCGUAGAUAUCAGGAGGAACACCUAUAGCGAAGGCAGCUCGCUGGUACGACACUGACGCUAAGGCGCGAAAGCGUGGGGAGCGAACAGG
rnacentral:rRNA from 1 species